rnacentral:tRNA from 1 species
GGGCGCUUAGCUCAGUGGUAGAGCGCAACGUUCGCAACGUUGAGGCCGUGGGUUCAAUCCCCGCAGCGUCCA